rnacentral:rRNA from 1 species
UGUUUGAUGUUCUAACGUGGACCCGUGAUCCGGGUUGCGGACAGUGUCUGGUGGGUAGUUUGACUGGGGCGGUCUCCUCCUAAAGAGUAACGGAGGAGCACGAAGGUUGGCUAAUCCUGGUCGGACAUCAGGAGGUUAGUGCAAUGGCAUAAGCCAGCUUGACUGCGAGCGUGACGGCGCGAGCAGGUGCGAAAGCAGGUCAUAGUGAUCCGGUGGUUCUGAAUGGAAGGGCCAUCGCUCAACGGAUAAAAGGUACUCCGGGGAUAACAGGCUGAUACCGCCCAAGAGUUCAUAUCGACGGCGGUGUUUGGCACCUCGAUGUCGGCUCAUCACAUCCUGGGGCUGAAGUAGGUCCCAAGGGUAUGGCUGUUCGCCAUUUAAAGUGGUACGCGAGCUGGGUUUAGAACGUCGUGAGACAGUUCGGUCCCUAUCUGCCGUGGGCGCUGGAGAACUGAGGGGGGCUGCUCCUAGUACGAGAGGACCGGAGUGGACGCAUCACUGGUGU